rnacentral:rRNA from 1 species
UUAUACAAUUAAUAUUAUUAAUAUUUUUAGUUUAUAAGGUAAUUUAUUAUAUGAAUUUAAUAUAUUUAUUUUUAGGUGAAAUUUAUAUUUUAAUUAAUUUUAUUAAUAUAUUUCUUAUAAAAUCAAAAUUUAAACUAGGAUUAGAUACCCUAUUAUUUUGUUAGUAAGAACUUAGGGUAGUAUUAGUUAAGUUCUUAAAACCUAAAGAAUUUGGCGGUGCUUUAGUCUAUUUAGAGGAAUUUGUCUUUUAAUCGAUAACCCUCGUUAUAUCUUACUUUAUUUUGUUAUCAGUAUGUAUAUCUCCGUUAUAAGUUUAUUUUUUUAGAUUAAUUUACUUAAAGAUUUAUUUAUAUUUAUUUC